UCUGCCAGAACAUAUUUGCUUUAAUGUACUUUAUCAGGUGGUCCUUAACAUAGCACUGGUAUCUUCUGCUGCAGCACAAUACACAGAUACACGAAGUAAAAAGCAGCAUGUACCUGUCUGUCAUCAGAACAGCCUUUAACAUUUAUUCGCCUACUUUGCUACAGAAUACACAACUGCAGCAGCUGGCAGAUACAUUCAGGAAAACAACUGGUCCCUGUCAACACCACCCAACCUUCCGAGGCCAAACAAGCAGUUACAAAGUAACAAAUAAAGCCCCGUGUUUUGUUUUGCCAAUA